AAGUGAUCCUCCCACCAUAGCCUCUCAAAAUGUUAGGAUUACAGGCGGGAGCCACCGUGCCCAGCCCCUUCUAGGAUCAUGUAGUGCUUCCUGGGUCCUUUUCCUCUUUAUUCUCCCUCCCCCUGCACCCCAGAACUGAUGUGGGGCUGAUCUGACCUUACUGACAGGGUGGGAGCCCGGGUGCCCUUCCUACCCUCCCCAAGGGGCUCUACGACCCUCCAGGACAGUCUUUGCCCAGGUGCCCUGAGGGCUCCUGGAAGCAGCAGUGAGAUGCACUCUGGAGUAGAUGGCUCCCUCUCUCGGCCUCCAGCCUUCGAGUCCACUGACAUGCAGCCACAGCCAUUCCCGGCUCCACACUUGGCCCUUCAGCAAGGCCUCCUCACCACAUCCUGAGCCUGUUCAUCCCCUCCUCCCUGAGGCCACCGCCCGGGUCCACACCUCCUCAUCUCCCACCUGGACCAUCCAUGGCAGAAACCUCCCAUCUGGUCUCCUGGCCCCUCCUCGAUGAUCCCAACUCUGCCCACACCACAGGUGAUCUCCUGAUCUCCUCUGGCGUGAAUCACACUGCUCUGCCCCCCAGCCCACCUGGCUUGCUGUCAGUGCAGGGUCUAGGCCCCUCACCCCUCCUUUACCCCCAUCUCCCAGCCCCUCCCCAGUGUUCCAGCCCCACUGGCCUUCCUUUGCAUCUCCCAUGGUUGUGCCCCGCUCCUGCCCCAGGACCUUCGCACAUGCUGUCCCUCAGCCCUGCAAGAACCAUCUGCUGGAGCCGAGCAGAGGCUGCCUCCUUUGAACGGGACCUGUACCCUCCACUCCCCUACCGCUGCACCACACCAAUCCAUCAUCACACUUAUGAUGUCAUCUUCUCAGAGGCAACCCGUAAACCCCUCGGGGCCCAGAGGCCACGCCUCACUCGACAGCUCGGGAGAGCCGGGCACAGGGGCAGAAGCGACUUGCCGAGGUCAUGCAGUGACAUGGAGCCACAGCCUGGCUUCCUGACACCCCUUCUGCCUUACCAGGCUGAUGCACAGGUGGGGAAGCUGAGGCCCAGAGAGGAGGCAGUUCCUGGAAAGCAAGCGGGCCGAGUUCCUCACAGAGAUCAGAAGAGCAACAAGAUCUCCAGGCCAGGGCAGAGGUCCCCGCCCUGGAUGCUGGUGACACUUCCCCUGGGCGGGAGGGGCUGGGAGCAUGCAGAUCUCAGCCCUGAACAGCCUGUCCUCUCGCCUCGAGGUUCUUGGUAGGCUGGGAACAGCCUGUCCUGCUGAGCUUCCUGUCACCUCUCUAGCUGCCCACACGCCGCACAGCUGCCACCGCCGGCCCUGGCCCGGGAGAGGGGGGUCUCUGGGGAUCUUAGCAGGCCAUGGUGGGGGUGUCUUGGGGCCAGCCUGAACUGAAAGACCAUCACAGCUUGCAAGCCACCUCCCUGCUCUGUUGCUGGCUCUCCUUGAAGACAAGUGUUUUUCAAUUAACCAAAGCGGUGCAUGGCAAUGUGAUAGGGGAAUGAAACACAGCAACAGAAUCAAUGCCCCACGCUGGGCAAUAGCCGACUUUCUGUUCGCUCCCAUCCCUUCCUUCCCUCCCCGCCUCCUUCCCCUGCUCCUUCCAUUCCACAAACAUUUAUUGAGCACCCGCUGUGUGCCAGCCACUGUUCUAGGCCCUGAAGACACAGAAGUGAACAAAAAAAAAGAGUCCCUGUGCACAUCCUGGAGGGACUUUCCCCGUGUGUGUGUGUGUGUGUGUGUGUGUGUGUCUAUACAGUGUAUGGAGACAGUGGAUAAUAAAAGCUGUUUAUGAGGCA